rnacentral:rRNA from 1 species
CAGCUAGUUGGUGGGGUAAUGGCUCACCAAGGCUCCGAUCGGUAUCCGGCCUGAGAGGGCGGACGGACACACUGGGACUGAGACACGGCCCAGACUCCUACGGGAGGCAGCAGUGGGGAAUUGUUCGCAAUGGGCGCAAGCCUGACGACGCAACGCCGCGUGGAGGAUGAAGAUCUUCGGGUCGUAAACUCCUUUCGAUCGAGACGAAUGGCCUCCGGGUGAAUAGCCUGGAGGAGUGACGGUACCGAGAGAAGAAGCCCCGGCUAACUCCGUGCCAGCAGCCGCGGUAAUACGGGGGGGGCAAGCGUUGUUCGGAAUUACUGGGCGUAAAGGGCUCGUAGGUGGCCAACUAAGUCGGACGUGAAAUCCCUCGGCUUAACCGGGGAACUGCGUCUGAUACUGGAUGGCUUGAGUUCGGGAGAGGGAUGCGGAAUUCCAGGUGUAGCGGUGAAAUGCGUAGAUAUCUGGAGGAACACCGGUGGCGAAGGCGGCAUCCUGGACCGACACUGACGCUGAGGAGCGAAAGCCAGGG